rnacentral:rRNA from 1 species
UACGUAGGGGGCAAGCGUUGUCCGGAAUCAUUGGGCGUAAAGAGCGUGUAGGCGGCCCGAUAAGUCCGCCGUGAAAGUCCAGGGCUCAACCCUGGAAUGCCGGUGGAAACUGUCGGGCUGGAGUCCGGAAGAGGCGAGUGGAAUUCCUGGUGUAGCGGUGAAAUGCGCAGAUAUCAGGAGGAACACCGAUGGCGAAGGCAGGUCACUGGGCCGCAACUGACGCUGAGGAGCGAAAGCAUGGGGAGCGAACAGG